UGCCGCGACUUCCCAUUCACCGCCAGCCCAUGUGCGUUGGCGACGUCACCGCGUUCACUGUCCCGGAAGUGCGCGUGGUGGCGACGGCGACCGCGGCAGUGGGGCCGACGAGUAGCUGGUGACUGCCUCUCCAGAUGCUGAGGUGCCUGUAUCAUUGGCACAGGCCAGUACUGAGCUGUAGGUGGAAUAGGCUGUGCCUUCUGAAGCAGUAUCUAUUUACAAUGAAGUUGCAGUCUCCCGAAUUCCAGUCACUUUUCACAGAAGGAUUGAAGAAUCUGACAGAAUUAUUUGUCAAAGAGAAUCACGAAUUAAGAAUAGCAGGAGGAGCAGUGAGGGAUUUGUUAAAUGGAGUAAAGCCUCAGGAUGUAGAUUUUGCCACUACUGCUACCCCUACUCAAAUGAAAGAGAUGUUUCAGUCGGCUGGGAUUCGGAUGAUAAACAACAAAGGAGAAAAGCACGGAACAAUUACUGCCAGGCUUCAUGAAGAAAAUUUUGAGAUUACUACACUACGGAUUGAUGUCACCACUGAUGGAAGACAUGCUGAGGUAGAAUUUACAACUGACUGGCAGAAAGAUGCAGAACGCAGAGAUCUCACUAUAAAUUCUAUGUUUUUAGGUUUUGAUGGCACUUUAUUUGACUACUUUAAUGGUUAUGAAGAUUUAAAAAAUAAGAAAGUUAGAUUUGUUGGACAUGCUAAACAGAGAAUACAAGAGGAUUAUCUUAGAAUUUUAAGAUACUUCAGGUUUUAUGGGAGAAUUGUAGACAAACCUGGUGACCACGAUGCUGAGACUUUGGAAGCAAUUGCAGAAAAUGCAAAAGGCUUGGCUGGAAUAUCAGGAGAGAGGAUUUGGGUGGAACUGAAAAAAAUUCUUGUUGGUAACCAUGUAAAUCAUUUGAUUCACCUUAUCUAUGAUCUUGAUGUGGCUCCUUAUAUAGGUUUACCUCCUAAUGCAAGUCUAGAAGAAUUUGACAAAGUCAGUAAAAAUGUUGAAGGUUUUUCACCAAAGCCAAUGACUCUUUUGGCCUCAUUAUUCAAAGUACAAGAUGAUGUCACAAAAUUGGAUUUGAGGUUGAAGAUCGCAAAAGAAGAGAAAAACCUUGGCUUAUUUAUAGUUAAAAAUAGGAAAGAUUUAAUUAAAGCAACAGAUAGUUCAGACCCAUUGAAACCCUAUCAAGACUUCAUUAUAGAUUCUAGGGAACCUGAUGCAACUACUCGUGUAUGUGAACUACUGAAGUACCAAGGAGAGCACCGUCUCCUAAAGGAAAUGCAGCAGUGGUCCAUUCCUCCAUUUCCUGUAAGUGGCCAUGACAUCAGAAAAGUGGGCAUUUCUUCAGGAAAAGAAAUUGGGGCUCUAUUACAACAGUUGCGAGAACAGUGGAAAAAAAGUGGUUACCAAAUGGAAAAAGAUGAACUUCUGAGUUACAUAAAGAAGACCUAAAACUGAUGGCUACUAAAAAGCAGAGCAUUUCUGGUAAGACUAAUUUUCUCCCCUCCCUCUUAAUGAGGUUUUAGAAACUACACCAUAAUAAAAGUUUAGGGGACCUCUGUAGAACAACAGGGGUCUUAUUUUGUGAAAUAUAUUUCAAGAGCUAAACUGAGAUCCACCUUUCUUGAUCUGAUUUAUAUCAUUGAAAUGUACAGUUCUUUUGGAAUAGUUUCCAUAGUUGGCUAUUAUCUUAACCUGUUCAGGCUUUUUUAAAAAAAUUGUUUUUGCAUAGGGUAGUACUAAGAUCUUAAAAACUAGUAACUGUCUUGAAGAAAAAAUGUUUAUUGUUUGCAAUUGAAAUAACUGGGUUACCUUGAACAAUGACUAUCUAUGAUGUGUCAGUUCUUAUCUGAAUUCCAAAAUAAACUUGGGCUUAAAAAGGAAAUAACUGACAAGUUUGCAUAAAACAUGAGUACUAAAUGUGUCCCCAGUUGCUGGCAUUCAUACGUACAGGAUUUGUUCUAGCAAGCUACGCUUUAGUAUGUGGUUGAUAUUUUCCUGUCACAAUGAUUUCUUUAUGCUGCAGAGCUUGGGACAGUCAUGGGAUUAACUUGAGGGUUACUCUUGAGCCUAUUAUUUUAAUACAACAUUGGUAUUGGAAGAUAAAUGUGUUUAUGUGGCAUCUGACAAUGUAUGUCAGGUGUCAUAUACAGUGGUAAUAUGCCUCUCUUUAAAGUAAAUGUUAUUUUAUUAAUUAAAAGGAUAUGGUUUACAUUAUUACAUAUAAGAUUUGACUCCUAAAUGCUUUCAUUAGGUAAAUAAAAUGUACAACACAAACUGUUUAUUUCAGCUGCUAUACUGACAUUUCAUAAUUUAUUUCCUUUCUGUGUAGCCAGUCAUAACAUCUUUGUGCUCUAUGAGCAAAUAGUGAUUUUGGACCUUGAUAAAACAAUUUUGUAGAGUAUAAUAUUUCUAAGAGGAAGUGUCACAGGGGCUAUGAUGCAAGAAAGCCUCAGAAAUGACUGCACCAGGGUAAAAAAAGAAAAAAAAAAAAAGCAACCACCACCAUAUCAUUACCCAGGAAACCAGCUGUGUUCCGUAGAAGGCCGGCCUAUCAGAUUCAAGUUGCAAGCCUUAUACACAGUAAGUGUCUCAUGCACAUAUCCAUGAGGAUUCACAUAAGCUGCCAUCGGCCCACAUAAGGAUAAACUAAAACAAAGAAUCAACAUGGAGGACAAGUCAAAAUGAGAAGUCUAAUUCUAUUAAAUGCUUAGAAUUUUCCUGAAGUUCACCAAGAAAUGAGGUAUGAGCUAUAUAGUUUUUAAUCUUUCAGUUUUACAUAAUACCAGGAUCUUAGUAUGAAAAUGGGGUGGGGGUGCAGCUGGCAGACAGGCCUAUUUUGUCUAAGUGUUUUCUGUGAUGACCCAAAGGAAAUCGUACUGGUUUUUAAAAUUCUCAAGACAGACAUUGUAAAGAAUAUAAAAUUCAAAUGCUUCUAAAGGAGUCUGAGAGUAUAAGUGCAAUGACAAGGUCCUGUGCGGUCAUUUUAGGGCAGUUGAUUAUUUUGCAGAAAGCAAUUUCCUUACCUUCUUGAUUUAUAACUCUGAUGAAUUUGUCAUAAAAUGAUUUUCAAACACUGUUAGAGCAUCAGUAUUCAGAAGCAUGUCCUACUUUGGCCCUAUAUGGCAAAACUGAUGACUGAAAUGUAAUUUCUGAGGCAUCUAUGUUAGGGCCUAAUUGAAGACAAUAUAUUAUGUAGAUUUCUAAGACAGUCUAAUAUAUAGAAUUAGGGGGAAAAGAAUUGCUCAGUUGUUUUACUUUACCAUGCUCAUUACCCGUGAAUAAUCCCUGACAUGCAUUGUUGGUUGAUCUGAGUACUCAAUCUGGAAGAUGGUCUUACCAAAAGUGAGCUAAUUCCCUAUAUUUCAUUUGCUAAGUGUUUGUAACUUUUAGAUAUUAGAGGAAAGUAUAUGGAAAACAGAAAUACAGUCUUGAUUAUAAUUCUGAUAAGGCAAGUAUAUUAAAAAUGUAAUAAAGACCUUACCUGAAUAUUUCA